rnacentral:lncRNA from 1 species
GCAGUUUCUAAUUUAAAUUAAUAACUUUUCCGAGGAAGUUAACUCCAUUAUAUAGGAGUAUUAUCUUUAGUGGGUCGGGUCAAUUCGCAUGGAGCGAUACAAUAUCCAAACCUAGUAUCCAACAGUUUCCUUCAUGUGUGAUUCAUUUUUCUCCAUUAGUACGCAGGUAAGAGCAGUUUUAUUUUGCAUUCAAUCUUUUUCUUUCAUGUUUUUUCCAUUCUAAUAUAUCUAUG